AGCAGCCGCGGUAAUUCCAGCUCCAAUAGCGUAUAUUAAAGUUGUUGCAGUUAAAAAGCUCGUAGUUGAAUUUCGGGAUUGACACAUCGGUCGUGCCUUAAGGGGUAUGAACUGGUGUAGUCAAUUUCUCACCUUCUGGAGAACCACGAUGCCCUUAAUUGGGUGUCGCGGGGAACCAGGACCUUUACUUUGAAAAAAUUAGAGUGUUUAAAGCAGGCAUUUUGCUUGAAUACAUUAGCAUGGAAUAAUAAAAUAGGACGGCAUGAUUCUAUUUUGUUGGUUUCUAGGAUCACCGUAAUGAUUAAUAGGGAUAGUUGGGGGCAUUAGUAUUCAAUUGUCAGAGGUGAAAUUCUUGGAUUUAUUGAAGACUAACUACUGCGAAAGCAUUUGCCAAGGAUGUUUUCAUUAAUCAAGAACGAAAGUUAGGGGAUCGAAGACGAUCAGAUACCG
rnacentral:rRNA from 1 species